AUUGAACGCUGGCGGCAGGCCUAACACAUGCAAGUCGAGCGGAUGAAGGGAACUUGCUCCUGGAUUCAGCGGCGGACGGGUGAGUAAUGCCUAGGAAUCUGCCUGGUAGUGGGGGAUAACGUCCGGAAACGGGCGCUAAUACCGCAUACGUCCUGAGGGAGAAAGUGGGGGAUCUUCGGACCUCACGCUAUCAGAUGAGCCUAGGUCGGAUUAGCUAGUUGGUGGGGUAAAGGCCUACCAAGGCGACGAUCCGUAACUGGUCUGAGAGGAUGAUCAGUCACACUGGAACUGAGACACGGUCCAGACUCCUACGGGAGGCAGCAGUGGGGAAUAUUGGACAAUGGGCGAAAGCCUGAUCCAGCCAUGCCGCGUGUGUGAAGAAGGUCUUCGGAUUGUAAAGCACUUUAAGUUGGGAGGAAGGGCAGUAAGUUAAUACCUUGCUGUUUUGACGUUACCAACAGAAUAAGCACCGGCUAACUUCGU
rnacentral:rRNA from 1 species